ACAUUCGACAUUUGAUAUUUCAAAUAAUAGAAAACUCAGCUAGAGUUCGGAUUUCCACUCUAUUCAGUAUUACCAAAUCAUUAUUCUUCAAUUUCACAUAUCCCAAUACAUAAAAUUAACUAGUAUCUUUAGACCAAUUUUCAUGUUAAUUUCUCAUCAAUUCGUUAAUUAACACACGAAAACAAAACAUUUACUUUCGAUGUGGCUACUAAUGGUACAACCUUUUAGUAAAACAAAGCUUUGUAUCAUUCUCUUUGUUAUACAUUGAAAAAUGGAACCAGUGCAAUCAGUGUGUAUUUUCUCUUCUAUCGGUGUCAAUCACAAAAUCGAAAAAAAUAACUCUAUAAGACAAAUUAUUCUUUUCAUUUGCAAUUAAUCGAAACAAAAGUAUAAUUGGUCGAAUCUUUGUGCACAGUGAUUUUCUUCGAUCGAUAUCGAGAAUUAAAUUACCUGGUAAUUUAUAAGUUUUCUAACUACGGUUUCUUAACAUAAUGAAUAAAAUUCAAGAUUUUGACAAAUUUGAACUACUGAGAAUUCUCAGAAUUUCUUCUACAAAUGAGAAAUUAUUAACAGAAAGAUCACUCACCAUAAAUAGAUUCGAUAGAUUGAAAGGUCUCUGUCAUCAUCCUCGUUCUGAUCUAUGCUCGUAAAUCCUUUGGAACAUGACUUCCCCAUGGACCUGAUGCGCUGUCUUACCAGUAGAUAAUGCAGGUUGUACGUGCCACAACUGACAGUGAGGACGUGAGUUAUCAGAACCAUCAAUGACGAUUAGUACCGUGAGAACAAGCCUUAACUGAACGGUUGGACUCGUGGGAGUCGUAAUUAAUUGCUAAAACCAAUAAAAAAUUUUUUAAAAGAAAAAUCGAGUUAUGAAAAUGAAAAUAGAGAUUUUAUUUUAUAAGAUGAUACAGGC